AGUAGUGUGGUUUAGUGGAAAAACCAUGGGCUUGAGAGUCAGAGGACGUGGAUUCUAAUCCUGUCUCUGCCA
rnacentral:tRNA from 1 species